rnacentral:rRNA from 1 species
CCUACGGGAGGCAGCAGUGGGGAAUUUUCCGCAAUGGGCGAAAGCCUGACGGAGCAAUACCGCGUGAGGGAGGAAGGCUCUUGGGUUGUAAACCUCUUUUCUCAGGGAAGAUAAUGACGGUACCUGAGGAAUAAGCAUCGGCUAACUCCGUGCCAGCAGCCGCGGUAAUACGGAGGAUGCAAGCGUUAUCCGGAAUGAUUGGGCGUAAAGCGUCCGCAGGUGGUUUUGAAAGUCUGCUGUUAAAGCGUGCGGCUUAACCGCAUAAGGGCAGUGGAAACUAUGAGACUAGAGUGCGUUAGGGGCAGAGGGAAUUCCCAGUGUAGCGGUGAAAUGCGUAGAGAUUGGGAAGAACACCGGUGGCGAAGGCGCUCUGCUAUACCGUAACUGACACUGAGGGACGAAAGCUAGGGGAGCGAAUGGGAUUAGAUACCCCAGUAGUCCUAGCCGUAAACGAUGGAUACUAGGCGUUGUCUGUAUCGACCCGGACAGUGCCGUAGCUAACGCGUUAAGUAUCCCGCCUGGGGAGUACGCAGGCAACUGNGAAACUUAAAGAGUAAUGACGNUGAGNGNGCCGAAGCACACGAGGUAG